CGAACACAGCGCAGUAACUCCAGUGCUGUGUGCCGGAUCUGACUAUCCACUGAACUAAGGAAAAUAAGACCAACUGCAUCUAUCUCUGAAGCACGAAAUUCAAUUGUUUCUUGAGAGUGAUGGAAAGAAGAUUUCUUGAAUCCCUCUGUUCUCUGCACACGCUUUGCAUCAGAAGCAUCGUACUCCACCUUAUCAUCAACUAGACAAGCUCUCCAAAAACGCAUGAGCUCCAGAAGGCGCCCCAGAGAAGUCUGAAUGAGAAGGGGAAACUCAUCUGGAAGACGUAGAAUGAAGUUUGACAUCCCUCUCAUGACUGAAAAGCGACGAUGUGGCAGGUACCUGACAAUCCGAUUGAGUACCUG
rnacentral:misc_RNA from 1 species